rnacentral:tRNA from 1 species
AGGUUAGUUUCUUAAUUGGUAAAGAACUUUCUUAAAAAAAAAGAAAGCUUAUGUCGGUUCGAAUCCGACCUAGCCUA